rnacentral:rRNA from 1 species
AAUUUUGGACAAUGGGGGAAACCCUGACCAACCAUCCCCGCUUGUAUGAUGAAUGCCUACGGUUAAAAAGGUACUUUUGCCAGAAAAGAAAAGGCAUCACCAAAUACGAGAUCCUGCUGCCGGUUCCUGCAGAAUAACAACGGGAUAAUUACUGCCCAGACGCCGCGGUAAUACGUAGGGUGCAAGCGUUAAUCGGAAUUACUGGGCGUAAAGCGUGUGUAGGCGGUUCGGAAAGAAAGAUGUGAAAUCCCAGGGCUCAACCUUGGAACUGCAUUUUUAACUGCCGAGCUAGAGUAUGUCAGAGGGGGGUAGAAUUCCACGUGUAGCAGUGAAAUGCGUAGAUAUGUGGAGGAAUACCGAUGGCGAAGGCAGCCCCCUGGGAUAAUACUGACGCUCAGACACGAAAGCGUGGGGAGCAAACAGG